AUGGAAUUGUCUCGCUUUACAAUUCUUCACAAUUUCUCAAUAAUCUCCAACAAAACUCACAAAUCCUCAAUCAAUUCACUCUCCUUCUCAAUUUCUCUCCGCGGGCACUCCCUCCGCCGCCACCUCACUCUCGCAGACCUCCCUCUUCCGGUUUCCUUCCGCCGCCACUGUCCGACUGGAGGUCCGACGAGCCUCCCGCCGUCUGCCACCAAGUCGCGGCCUCCUUCCUCUUCUCUUCGGGCGAUCGUGCCACAUACUCCCUAUGGUUCUCUCAUCGCAACAUCAUCACCUCAUCUCAUCUUCAAUUCUCCAUUUUUGAUUCUUGAGGAUACUUGCACGGUUGUGAUUUACUUUCGCGACCGAAACAUUGACUUUGCAUUUGAUGUCUUGCACAUAUUCUGA
rnacentral:lncRNA from 1 species